AUGGACAGAAUUCUUCGGGAAGAGCAGGUACACAUUGUACAGAAGACGUGUACAUUCUGUACCAAUUCUGUACCACAUGUACAUUCUGCACCAUUCUAUACCACAUGUACAUUCAGUACCGAUUCUGUACCACGUGUACCUUCAGUACCGAUUCUGUACCACGUGUACAUUCUGCACCAUUCUGUACCACGUGUACAUUCUGUGCCAUUCUGUACCAUGUGUACAUUCAGUACUGAUUCUGUACCACGUGUACAUUCUGUGCCAUUCUGUACCACGUGUACAUUCAGUACCGAUUCUGUACCACAUGUACAUUCAGUACCGAUUCUGUACCACGUGUACAUUCAGUACCGAUUCUGUACCACGUGUACAUUCAGUACCGAUUCUGUACCACAUGUACAUUCUGCACCAUUCUGUACCACAUGUACAUUCAGUACCGAUUCUGUACCACAUGUACAUUCAGUACCGAUUCUGGACCACGUGUACAUUCAGUACCGAUUCUGGACCACGUGUACAUUCAGUACCGAUUCUGGACCACGUGUACAUUCUGCACCAUUCUGUACCACGUGUAAAUUCUGCACCAUUCUGUACCACGUGUAUAUUCAGUACCGAUUCUGUACCACGUGUACGUUCUGUACCGAUUCUGUACCACGUGUACAUUCUGUACCGAUUCUGUACCACAUGUACAUUCUGCACCAUUCUGUACCGAUUCUGUACCACGUGUACAUUCUGUACUAUUCUGUACCAAUGCACAGAAGCCAUGUGUUCCACUUCCCUGUGGAGCCUGAGCACUGUGGGAACACACCCAAAAGCCCCUCUGUAACCACAGGUCAUUGGUAUUUCCGUAUUAGCCCUAUUUCUCAGAGCUUCAUAACUUUGAAUUUUAAGUCAAUAACUUUUUGA
rnacentral:lncRNA from 1 species